GUGUGGAAAUGUAAACUUUGCUAGGAGAACAAGCUGUAAUCGAUGUGGUAGAGAAAAAACAACUGAAGCCAAGAUGAUGAAAGCUGGGGGCACAGAAAUAGGAAAGACGCUGGCAGAGAAGAGCCGGGGCUUAUUUAGUGCGAAUGACUGGCAGUGCAAAACUUGCAGUAAUGUGAAUUGGGCCAGAAGAUCGGAGUGUAACAUGUGUAACACUCCAAAGUAUGCUAAGCUAGAAGAGAGAACAGGAUAUGGAGGUGGUUUUAAUGAAAGAGAAAAUGUUGAGUAUAUAGAAAGAGAAGAAUCUGAUGGAGAGUAUGAUGAGUUUGGACGUAAAAAGAAGAAAUACAGGGGAAAGGCAGUUGGUCCUGCAUCGAUAUUAAAGGAAGUCGAAGACAAAGAAUCAGAGGGAGAAGACGAGGAUGAGGAUGAAGAUCUGUCUAAGUAUAAGCUGGAUGAGGACGAGGAUGAAGAUGAUGCUGAUCUCUCAAAAUAUAAUCUUGAUGCCAGUGAAGAAGAAGAUAGUAAUAAAAAGAAAGCCAAUAGACGGAGUCGCUCAAAGUCUCGAUCAUCUCACUCGAGAUCUUCAUCACGCUCAUCCUCCCUCUCAAGUUCAAGGUCCAGGUCCAGGUCCCGUUCACGAAGCUCUUCCAGUUCGCAGUCAAGGUCUCACUCCGGUUCGAGAGAACAUUCCAGAUCCCGUGGUUCGAAAUCAAGAUCCAGCUCCAGGUCCCACAGGGGCUCUUCCUCCCCAAGAAAAAGAUCUUAGUCGAGUUCUUCAUCAUCUCCUGAAAGAGACAGUAAGAGGAGUCGAUCUAGACCUUCUUCACCUGCUGUUCGCAAAAAAAGACGAACAAGAUCACGGUCACCCGAAAGGUUUGGGUUUCUGUAGCAUAAGAAUGGGUGUUCUUACGUGUAUUGAAUAGAUGGACUUUCUGGCAAGGGUUAGAUUUCUUUCUCCUUUGUUAUUUAAAUUAUAUUUUUGGUCUUUAAAAUUCAGAAAUCAGAUUACUUUGUUUAGCUUGUUAACUUUAGAAAAAGUUACAGGAUACACUAUUCUCUGACCAUUUUAUUGUUUGAAUUUUUAUUUCCAUGUACAUUAUUAUAGCCAACUCUCGGUUAUUUUUCUGUUCUUAAAGAUUGAAACCUAAAAGCUGUAUGUUGAAAUAAUUUGCUUGUGUUUGUUUUUUUAAAUUAAAUACUUGAAAUGGUAGGGAUUUUAGGGUACCUAACCAAGAUUAACUUGCUUGCAAGAUCAUUGGGAAUCUGUCCUUAUAUAAGUGCGUACAAGCGCAUUUCCAUAGCAGUGACUUUUAUGUCCUUUACAUGGAAGUUACUCCUUGUAGUUAGUACUUUUUUCAUCUUGCAGUCUGGAUCCAUUUUUCUCUUCAAAGAGGACCUUCACUGGGUCUCUGUAUCUAGAGUGCACUUGUUAAGCACAUAGUCAGCCUAUCCUGUGGCAGACUUGAUUACUCGGUUUCACUUAUUUUCUCUUGGUUCUCAAUAUCGUAAUUUCAAUUUGUAGCUUCAUUUGUAAUCUUAGCAAAUUUCCCAUAUCCUCUCAGCUUGUGAAAGAAAAGAAGGAUCUUAGAGUCUGGUGACAGCUGGGUUCAGUGGGUAAAAUUGAGUUAUUCCUGAUCUCACAGAAUUAUAUGUCCUUGACACUUGAAGUUCAAAAUUAUACCCAGUCUUCUUUCUGUGCAUUGUUUCUUUAUAAGAAAAUUACUCUGUACUUGAGUGAAAUUCAUUCUGUUGCCUUCUUACUACUUCUGCAAAUUUUUAUCUUAGCCACAUAUAACCCCCCCCCAGCUUGUUGUCAUCUAAACUUAAUGCACAUGUUCUCUAUUCCAUAAGCCAGGUGAUUGGUGAAAACAUUAAACAACCCUGAGCCCAGGGCCAACCCCUACGGAACACCACCACUUUGCCCAGGCACCACAGGUCGUCUUCCGGAUCAACCCAUUCUGGUUCCCGUUCAAGUUCAAAAAAGAAAUAAUGUAUUAAAAUUUACAUCUUUAAAAAACAUUAAAUACAGUGCAUGAAGCAUAUUUUUUAGGAAGUUGAUGUCUCAUUUGGUCAGAAGUGCUACAUCUGCUAGUAGAGGUGCAUGCCUUUGUUGCUUUUCAAAACAGUACAACUGUGUUUAUUUGUGAAAUUGAAAGUAAAUUGCGUUUUAAGCCAUACUGUUCCCCAGAUAAAUGCUCUGUUCAUUAUUUACAACCAUUUGCUGUGUUUAGAAACAGCUGUAACAAAGUACUUUGUUUCCUUGUCCUUUUCAUUUCUAAAUGUCCUAUUGACAGAGACAGGGUUGCCUGGACUUCAGACACAUGGACAAGGCUAAUAAAAUUGUUGAAAACAUCAGUUCAUGUUCAUAUGGGAGAAGUAGUCAACCUGGUUAUGUUGUUUAACUGUGUCAGUGAUUUAUUACCAGACGUUAACUACAGUUCACAAAGCUGACAACUGGGAACUUUGAGUUCUCUGUUCUGAGGGUGCCUUAGAAUCAUUAUCUCUCUUAUCGGCUUUACACCGAUUUUAAUGCAAGAGGAUAUUAGCAAUUGCAGAAGGAACAGGUUAUCCAUCUUACUUCAAAAUGUCUAUCUAAAUAUAAGUUUAAGAAAUAUGGAUAUCCUUUAAAUCUAGUUACCAAAUAUUGUACUUGAUUGACAAAAAUUUAAAAAAAGACUAAAUCAUAGUUCACGGGCAAAUUGAAGAAAGUUUUUGAAGCCUAUUUCUCAGUGACAGGCUGACAGAGAUAUGAAUUUAAGUGAACAUUUGCCUUGAGAUGUCUGAUUUUUCAGCACUGUAGAUGUCUAAGUAACAGAAGAAUUCUUAUGUCUGCAUGAUGUCGGCAGAAUUAUUUCUUUCCUCACCUGAAAAAAAAAAAAAACAAACAUAUGGCUUAAAAUGCUUUCAGAGUUUUAUUUCUAAAAUUAAAAUCUGGUUACUUGACAUCCAUUUUGUUCUCUGGUUUAAAAGUUAAAAGGUUUCUCUUUAACAGUCUCUCCAGCAGCAAAGCAAGGUAAGUAUACAAUUGACCUGCAGUUGUGCUGGGGCUUCUUGUUACAGGAAUUGUUUUUCCUGUUUCUCCCCUCCUUUAGUAUUUGCUGCGGUUUAAAUAAGUAAAGCAUUCUAAGAUGUUUAGUAGAUAGAUCAAACAAUGUUUUUAUUUUAAAGUGCUUUUCACCUCAACUGAUCUAAAGAUGAAAACAAAAUAUCGUAUGUAGAAAUAUUUUCGUAAUAUUUUUACAAGCUUUCCUGUGUUGUUUGUCUUUAUUUUCCUUGCUGCAUUUACUGUAGGUUGCACACGAACUCUUACUCUCUUGUAAUUGUGCCUCAGACUUCUCGAAAGUCGACUUUUCUGAGUUGCCCAGAUCUUCUAGAUCCGACGUGUUAGCCUUCGUUUGUUCUUGUGCUUUCUGUAUUUAAAACUUGGGCUGUACUAGGCAAAUACAAGAUUAUAAAUUUAGCUAAUAGAGUUUACAAAACAGUUGAGAUGAUUAUGAUUGGAUUUGGUUUAAUUGAGCUGUACUAGUUCAUUUCAUAAGGAAAUGAUACUGUAGACAAAUGUAAAUAAAAUCUGAGUCAAUCAUCAAGUGUUGGUCAUUAGAAAUAAACUAGAAAUUUUAAGCUCUGA